UCUUCCAGCCAAGAAUAUUGCUAUUCCAGAAGAUCUGAAUGAAAAAGAGAAUCAUGCUGGAAACACUCAGCAGUUUGAGCAGCAUUUGAUUACAGUCCCAGUUCUGAUAAUGGAUCAUCUAACAUUGCACUUCCAUUGUUUUCUGCAUGCACUAUUUUAAUCAAUAAAGUAAAUACACAUACCCAAACUCCACAAA